AGGAAGAUGAUUUGAAAUGGGUUGAAGAAAAUAUUCCAUCUUUGACAGAAUCAACUCUCCCAAGUUUUAUGGAUUCUGAUGAAGAAAUUAUGACUGCGAAGUUUGAGCGAAACAAGAUGGAAUAAUUUAAAAUUUUACUUCUGUUGUAUCUAAUAUAUAUUUUCAGUUAUAAAUAAUAACAUUAAAAUGUUUUAUAACAGUUGCAUUUCUUUUUUUUAUUUCUUUUGUAACUGUUUGUACAGAAUAUAGUGAUAAGAUAAAAUUACCAAGGAUGCACUAAUGCAGUACUGCAUAGAUGCUGCCAUAUCUGUAAUAUGUUGCACAAGAGAACAUUUUUGUUUGGCACUCCAUGUCAAGUUUCAGAUUUCUUUGUAUGAAGAUAUAGCAUUUAAACACUUCUUUUUAUAUACAUUGUAUAUAUUUUUGUGCUUCUUUUGGUGUUUGGAGUAUUCUUAAUCUUAAUAUAUACAUAUAUAUAUAAUGAUAACCAUAGAGUUUUAUAAGGAAAAACCAAAAAACCCAAGUUGUAAACUUUGUUUAAAAUAAACUAUUUAUUCAUAUAUUCCGUUGUUUGAAAUGUAAUUCUUACAGCUUUGAGAAAAAAAAAUCCAAUAGUAUUUUUAAUACUUUCUUUGUAGAUCUAUUUUAUAAAUAAUUAUUACAUACAUUAUAUGUAUACAAAUACAUUCUAUAUACAUAUUGUAUAUGUAUGCAAACUGGUGACUCUAGACCACCAGUAAAUAUAAUUGUAAAAAUAUUAAA